UUAGCAGCUUCCCAACGACAUCGAUACACGAUAUUUUCACAGCGUCAAAACGAACCAACAAAAACAGCGCGUGAACGACUCCAAAACCACCUUAUACGCGCCUCACCUCUCCUCAUGCGAGAACAAGUAGUAGCAACGGUCACAAGAAAUACACGACAGAUUAUACGAUGUCAAAUUUUAUACUCGCUUUCUCCUUUUUGCUUUGCCAGAAGUCAUACAGCAGCGGUCAGUCGACUUGUUCAGUCUGCAGUUCACGUAUUCGUCCUUGGGGGCUGGGAGAUUGACCCACGUCGCGCCCUAAAGACGAUGGAAUUGAUUCCAGCCGUUCAACCCCCUCCCCCCCCUUUCCUCUUUUGAAGCGGGUUGAAUUCUCAAAGAAAAGGUGUUCAUCCUAAAAUGGUGAAAGAUUUUAAAAUUCGAAAUUGAAAUGGAUCUUUUCUCAUCUAAUUUCAUUCACUUUCCCCAAAAAUCAACUCUAGAUUUUCCCUCUCUAUAUAAGCGCCUGUUUUGCUCCAUUAGAGGGGUUGGAGAUUUUUGAUUGAAAAAAAAGGGGUGUUGAAGAAUUUUGUGUUGGUGAAAAUACAGGAAGUUAGCUAAGUGAUGAAAGAAAAAGAUAUAUUUAAGCCAAAGGUUUCCUAGAAAAUUUUCCGAUUCGGUCUUUCUGUCAUCUGUUUUGCUUUGUUGGUUCAAGUUUUUUUGGAGUCGUUCUUCGGUGUAGUAGUUGCUGUCCAUCUCUUCGCUCCAACCCAGUUCGCUGCCCACAAAAAGAGAAAGAUUAUUCAUGUGUAUCAUUCUGUGGCGAAGAAUUGAGUGUCUGUCUACCACCGUUUGUUCUCUAGGAUACUGGUAUUUUCGAGUUUUGCAUUUCCAUUUUUUUAAAGUGCAGUUAUAUGUUAAGAAACAUGUUUUGGCCCAUUUAUUGUCCAUUGUUUGCUGUUACUGUUGUAUUUGCUCCUUUUAAUCUUUGCUAUUGAGUUAUUAUUGGGUACAUUGGCUUAUUCAAAGCUAUGUGAUCACAAGUUGAUCAUGCUUAAAUAUCCCAAAUUGGAAAUUUCUUUUCUGAUUAUUGUAUUAGUUAUUUAAGGUCACUGAAAUGCUAUAAAAAUGGAUUUGAGACCCUCUCUGUGAUAUCUCUUUGUCUUUACUAUGUUCAAAAGUGAAGUGUUUUAGUAUAUCGAUUCAAUUUAUUCGAUCCUUCUUUACAUUAAAUCGAUUUGUUACUCAUUUUAUUACUCUUUUGUUGGCAUGUGAAAUAUAUCGGGGUUCUCAUGGAUCCUAUCCUUGAAUUUUUCUAUUGGGUUACGGAAACCCAAUUUCUUAUUUCGAGUCAGCCUCUCCUUUAAAAGUUGAAAAAUCAGUUCUGGAAAAAGGGGGUAUAGGUCGCAAAAAUUGUAUACAUUGUAUACACAACAAAGUGUUGCAAAGCAGAGUUGAAAAGAGUGGGCCAAAAGCCCAUUCCUUUUUUAAGAUUUGUAUUUUGUUGUUU